CGUCACGCAGCUUGAAUCCGGCGUUUAAGAAAACCCAACCAGCAGCUUCCCAAGGUCGCACUGUGGCCGUGGACAGGCAUCUGAAGACAGCCAAUGACGGGCGUACCUCAAUGAAAGCCUUCCUGUACACACCAUUGGAUGCGGGGUCUUUGGGUGUGGAUCCUCAGCCGGUAUUAUCUGAAGAUUCGCAGUUCUGCGCAGAGGUAGAGCUGCCAUCGACGCCAGGGUUCCCCACUUUGCCCGGUGCCAAACUGGUCCGAAUUGGAACCACCAUCUGGAUUAAAGAACCUCUAGGACCAGCGCUCAUGAACAUUACCUGAGGCGUCCAGAACGCUUCUGUAAUUUGCGACAGGGGCAGAAACGGAACGAUUG